UGGGGAAUUUUGGACAAUGGGCGAAAGCCUGAUCCAGCAAUGCCGCGUGUGUGAAGAAGGCCUUCGGGUUGUAAAGCACUUUUGUCCGGAAAGAAAUCCUUGGCUCUAAUACAGUCGGGGGAUGACGGUACCGGAAGAAUAAGCACCGGCUAACUACGUGCCAGCAGCCGCGGUAAUACGUAGGGUGCAAGCGUUAAUCGGAAUUACUGGGCGUAAAGCGUGCGCAGGCGGUUUGCUAAGACCGAUGUGAAAUCCCCGGGCUCAACCUGGGAACUGCAUUGGUGACUGGCAGGCUAGAGUAUGGCAGAGGGGGGUAGAAUUCCACGUGUAGCAGUGAAAUGCGUAGAGAUGUGGAGGAAUACCGAUGGCGAAGGCAGCCCCCUGGGCCAAUACUGACGCUCAUGCACGAAAGCGUGGGGAGCAAACAGGAUUAGAUACCCUGGUAGUCCACGCCCUAAACGAUGUCAACUAGUUGUUGGGGAUUCAUUUCCUUAGUAACGUAGCUAACGCGUGAAGUUGACCGCCUGGGGAGUACGGUCGCAAGAUUAAAACUCAAAUGAAUUGACGGGGUCAUAG
rnacentral:rRNA from 1 species